GACGAAGGGGGCUAGCGUUGUUCGGAAUUACUGGGCGUAAAGCGCGUGUAGGCGGUUGUUCAAGUCAGGUGUGAAAGCCUUGAGCUCAACUCAAGAAAUGCACUUGAUACUGGAUGACUAGAGGACCGGAGAGGAUAGUGGAAUUCCCAGUGUAGUGGUGAAAUACGUAGAGAUUGGGAAGAACACCAGUGGCGAAGGCGGUCACCUGGACGGAUACUGACGCUGAGACGCGAAAGCGUGGGGAGCAAACAGG
rnacentral:rRNA from 1 species